ACUCCUACGGGAGGCAGCAGUGGGGAAUUUUGGACAAUGGGGGAAACCCUGAUCCAGCAAUGCCGCGUGAGUGAAGAAGGCCUUCGGGUUGUAAAGCUCUUUUGUCAGGGAAGAAACACCGGCCCUAACACAGUCCGGGAAUGACGGUACCUGAAGAAUAAGCACCGGCUAACUACGUGCCAGCAGCCGCGGUAAUAC
rnacentral:rRNA from 1 species